rnacentral:snoRNA from 24 species
GAGUGCCGCCGGAGUGCCGCAGAUGUGCGGGCCGAUGAAAGGCGGUUCCCCGGCUUUU